AUUGAACGCUGGCGGCAGGCUUAACACAUGCAAGUCGAGCGAGCCGCGGACGGGUGAGUAAUGUCUGGGAAACUUCCUGAUGGAUGGGGAUCACUACUGGAAACUGUAGCUAAUACCGCCUUCAUUCGCCUGUGCCCAGCUGGGAUUAGCUAGUCGGUGGGGUAAGGGCUCACCACGGCGACGAUCCGUACCUGGUCUGAGAGGAUGACCAGCAACACUGGAACUGAGACACGGUCCAGACGCCUACGGGAGGCAGCAGUGGGGAAUAUUGCAAAAUGGGCGAAAGCCGGAUGCAGCCAGGCCGCGUGUGUGAAGAAGGCCUUCGGGUUGUAAAGCACUUUCAGCGAGGAGGCGUUACUAGCAGAAUAAGCACCGGCUAACUCCGUGCCAGCAGCCGCGGUAAUAC
rnacentral:rRNA from 1 species